UACGUAGGGUGCAAGCGUUAAUCGGAAUUACUGGGCGUAAAGGGCGCGUAGGCGGCCUUCUAAGUCGAACGUGAAAUCCCCGGGCUCAACCCGGGAACUGCGUCCGAUACUGGAAGGCUUGAAUCCGGGAGAGGGAUGCGGAAUUCCAGGUGUAGCGGUGAAAUGCGUAGAUAUCUGGAGGAACACCGGUGGCGAAGGCGGCAUCCUGGACCGGUAUUGACGCUGAGGCGCGAAAGCCAGGGGAGCAAACGGG
rnacentral:rRNA from 1 species